rnacentral:rRNA from 1 species
GACGAACGCUGGCGGCGUGCCUAAUACAUGCAAGUUGAGCGCUGAAGGUUGGUACUUGUACCGACUGGAUGAGCAGCGAACGGGUGAGUAACGCGUGGGGAAUCUGCCUUUGAGCGGGGGACAACAUUUGGAAACGAAUGCUAAUACCGCAUAAAAACUUUAAACACAAGUUUUAAGUUUGAAAGAUGCAAUUGCAUCACUCAAAGAUGAUCCCGCGUUGUAUUAGCUAGUUGGUGAGGUAAAGGCUCACCAAGGCGAUGAUACAUAGCCGACCUGAGAGGGUGAUCGGCCACAUUGGGACUGAGACACGGCCCAAACUCCUACAGGAGGCAGCAGUAGGGGAUCUUCGGCAAUGGACGAAAGUCUGACCGAGCAACGCCGCGUGAGUGAAGAAGGUUUUCGGAUCGUAAAACUCUGUUGGUAGAGAAGAACGUUGGUGAGAGUGGAAAGCUCAUCAAGUGACGGUAACUACCCAGAAAGGGACGGCUAACUACGUG